rnacentral:rRNA from 1 species
UACGUAGGGGGCAAGCGUUGUCCGGAUUUAUUGGGCGUAAAGAGCGUGUAGGCGGCCGUACAGGUCAGCUGUGAAAACUCGAGGCUCAACCUCGAGACGUCGGUUGAAACCGUACGGCUAGAGUCCGGAAGAGGAGAGUGGAAUUCCCGGUGUAGCGGUGAAAUGCGCAGAUAUCGGGAAGAACACCCGUGGCGAAGGCAGCUCGGCUGGGACGGUACGUGACGCCUGAGACGCGAAAGCGUGGGGAGCGAACAGG